UUUUGUGGCGUUUGAUUUACGCCUCGUGCUUGAGUUUGUGUCACUACACUUGAACUUGCACCCCUUCGCGAUCCAAUUUGCACCCUUCAUAUUAUUAAUCUUAUCCGCCGUCUUUAGCCAUCGGUUUCAAUUCAUUUCUAAUCACUUACCCAAAAUCAUUUUCAAAACUAUUUCACAAGGCAAGUCAAAAGCUUGAUCCAACAUCAAGCUAUUUUUAAAAUCAUCUCAAAACCAACCCAUUUGACUUUUUC
rnacentral:lncRNA from 1 species